UUAAAAAGCUCGUAGUUGGAUUUCUGGUACAAUGCGCCUGGCCCGCAAUUUGUGAGUGCCGGCGCGCGUUUGCCAUCCUUCUAGAAAACGUUUCUACCCGGGUAACUGGGCCGGACUCGCGAUCUAGAUCUUUUACUUUGAAAAAAUUAGAGUGUUUAAAGCAGGCUUUUGCUGUGAAUACAUUAGCAUGGAAUAAUAAUCUAGGACUUCGGUUCUAUUUUGUUGGUUUCUAGUACUGAAGUAAUGAUUGAUAGGGAUAGUUGGGGGUGCUAGUAUUGGCCGGUCAGAGGUGAAAUUCUUGGAUUCGGUCAAGACUAACUUAUGCGAAAGCAUUCACCAAGGAUGUCUUCUUUAAUCAAGAACGAAAGUUGGGGGAUCGAAGACGAUCAGAUACCGUCGUAGUCUCAACCAUAAACUAUGCCAACUAGGGAUGGGUGAACGUUUAAAUUAUGACAUCAUCUGCAC
rnacentral:rRNA from 1 species